rnacentral:lncRNA from 1 species
GAGGUAAUGUAAUAUUUUUUUUGUGUGCUGUUUCUGAUAGAUAUGUUGUCGGCUGCCACUGGCAGUCAGCUCGGCCUGUCGAUUGUCUCAGUCACAUUUCCAAACCUACCCCUGUUUACAAAAAAAGUUUUACAGUAGUUAAUUACAGUACAAUGUACUUGUGUACUAUGGUGGUACGGUGAACUUCUUGUGCAGAUCUGAACACCAUGCAUGCCGGUUCCGUAAAAAAAAAAAGGUCUAACCUAGAAGCUUACUUUUUACGGUGUUUAUUAUGCACAGAGCAUAGCCAUGGAUAACUUCUACGCCGGAGAGGGCACAGACCACAGCGGGGUUCCGACCAAGAUGGUCACCCUCAACUGCUCCCUCAACAUGAUCGUGUACAACCCUGCUUCCAUGUUCGGGAUCCAUGUCUCCUCGGGCCCCGUCCGCCUGCUCUAUUCCGAGAUCGCCAUCGGGGUUGGACAGNNNNN